rnacentral:rRNA from 1 species
AUUGAACGCUGGCGGCAUGCUUUACACAUGCAAGUCGAACGGCAGCGCGGGCUUCGGCCUGGCGGCGAGUGGCGAACGGGUGAGUAAUGCAUCGGAACGUGCCCAGUAGUGGGGGAUAGCCCGGCGAAAGCCGGAUUAAUACCGCAUACGACCUGAGGGUGAAAGCGGGGGACCGAAAGGCCUCGCGCUGUUGGAGCGGCCGAUGUCGGAUUAGCUAGUUGGUGGGGUAAAGGCUUACCAAGGCGACGAUCCGUAGCUGGUCUGAGAGGACGACCAGCCACACUGGGACUGAGACACGGCCCAGACUCCUACGGGGGGCAGCAGUGGGGAAUUUUGGACAAUGGGGGCAACCCUGAUCCAGCCAUGCCGCGUGCGGGAAGAAGGCCUUCGGGUUGUAAACCGCUUUUGUUCGGGAAGAAAUCCUCUGGGCUAAUACCCCGGGGGGAUGACGGUACCGGAAGAAUAAGCACCGGCUAACUACGUG